CAAUAGCGUAUAUUAAAGUUGUUGCAGUUAAAAAGCUCGUAGUUGGACCUUGGACCUGGACAGGCGGUCCGCCUCACGGCGAGUACUGUCUUGCUGGGUCUUUCCUCUUGGUGAUCUGUUGUUUCGGCAGCAGGGAACCAGGACCUUUACUUUUAAAAAAUUAGAGUGUUCAAAGCAGGCUCGACGCCGGAAUAUAUUAGCAUGGAAUAAUAAAAUAGGACGUGCGGUUCUAUUUUGUUGGUUUUUGGAAUCGCCGUAAUGAUUAAUAGGGACAGUCGGGGGCGUUAGUACUCACAUGCUAGAGGUGAAAUUCUUGGAUUUUGUGAAGACUAACUUCUGCGAAAGCAUUUGCCAAGGAUGUUUUCAUUAA
rnacentral:rRNA from 1 species